rnacentral:misc_RNA from 1 species
GAUGAAGAACGUAGCGAAAUGCGAUAAGUAAUGUAAAUUGCAGAAUUCAGUGAAUCAUCGAAUCUUUGAACGCACAUUGCGCCCGCCAGCAUUCUGGCGGGCAUGCCUGUUCGAGCGUCAUUUCAACCCUCAAGCUCUGCUUGGUGUUGGGGCCCUACGGUUGACGUAGGCCCUUAAAGGUAGUGGCGGACCCUCUCGGAGCCUCCUUUGCGUAGUAACUAACGUCUCGCAUUGGGAUUCGGAGGGACUCUUGCCGUAAAACCCCCAAAUUUUCUAAUGGUUGACCUCGGAUCAGGUAGGAAUACCCGCUGAACUUAAGCAUAUCAAUAAGCGGAGGA